rnacentral:lncRNA from 1 species
GCUUUGUACUAACACUUGAAAGGCUUCUGCUUUUGUUUUCUUUUCCAGAGUAAAUCUUCCAUGUGUUUCCUCUGGCUGAGCAGACUAUAAAGGGACAGGAGUGCAACAAGGACCACCUAACUCUAACCUCAACCUGUCAGCAUGAGUCAUGGUGAUACAAGAUAUGGCUUCUAUUUCAUGGGACAGCUCCAACAGUCUAUAAC